ACCAAGGUAUUGUAUAUGUGUUGCUAAAUUUUUUUUAAACCAAAUUCACCAACAUUGCUGUCAGUUGCCUAUCAAUAGUACUUUCCAUGUAAUCAAACAUGUAAUGCUUUUUAGUUUUUCUUGGCGACCUCUUUCCCAUAGUUCUCUGUCCUCCUGUUCCUAGAUGUUGCUCUCUAGGUCUGCUGCCAGAUAUUGUCCUGGAACUUGCCUUUUAUAAUUGUACUGGGACUUGGUUCACCAUUCUCAUGUUAGUUUUCUAGUUUCUGAACAUAAUACCUUUUCUUUCUUAAUUUACUUCCUAGUUUUAAUGGAACACAUAGGCCAGUAGCUUCCUAAGAAGAGCUACAUCAAGGAUUGCCUUGACUUAAUCUUCAUACUAACUUGGUAUUUAAUCUGGCUUGGGGUCAAUGAUGUUCAAGGAUGUAUCUAUAAACUUCUCUCAAGAGGAAUGGGAAUGCCUGGAUUCUGGUCAGAUGAAUUUAUACAAAGAAGUGAUGCUGGAGAAUUUCAGCAACCUGGUUUCAGUGGGACUUUCCAGUUCUAAGCCAGCUGUGAUCUCCUUAUUGGAACAAGGAAAAGAGCCCUGGAUGGUUGAAACAGAAGUGAAAAGAGGCCUUUGUUCGGGUAAGUGAUAGUUGAUAUGGCAAUGACUUUGUCCAAAGUUAGGUUGUUUGUGUUUUUAUUAUUUAGUUUUCUGUUGUUUAUAUAACCUAAAUAC